ACUCAAUUACAAUAGAGAAUGCAGAAUAUAGUUCUCAGCAUUGUAGCGCAUCAGUUCUAGAGACAAAGUCCAAUGUUCUCAAUGGGCUAGAGGUGAAUCACACAGUACCCUAGCUUAUGGAAGGAUCAU